rnacentral:rRNA from 1 species
UACGUAGGGUCCGAGCGUUGUCCGGAAUUACUGGGCGUAAAGAGCUCGUAGGUGGUUUGUCGCGUUGUUCGUGAAAACUCACAGCUCAACUGUGGGCGUGCGGGCGAUACGGGCAGACUGGAGUACUGCAGGGGAGACUGGAAUUCCUGGUGUAGCGGUGAAAUGCGCAGAUAUCAGGAGGAACACCGGUGGCGAAGGCGGGUCUCUGGGCCGAUACUGACGCUGAGGAGCGAAAGCGUGGGGAGCAAACGGG